rnacentral:rRNA from 1 species
GCCUACAUGAAGCUGGAGUUACUAGUAAUCGCAGAUCAGAAUGCUGCGGUGAAUGCGUUCCCGGGUCUUGUACACACCGCCCGUCACACCACGGAAGUUGGGGGCGCCCGAAGCCACUUAGCUAACCCUUUUGGGAAGCGAGUGUCGAAGGUGAAAUCAAUAACUGGGGGUGAAGUCGUAACAAGGUAAC